GACGAACGCUGGCGGCGUGCCUAAUACAUGCAAGUUGAGCGCUGAAGGUUGGUACUUGUACCAACUGGAUGAGCAGCGAACGGGUGAGUAACGCGUGGGGAAUCUGCCUUUGAGCGGGGGACAACAUUUGGAAACGAAUGCUAAUACCGCAUAAAAACUUUAAACACAAGUUUUAAGUUUGAAAGAUGCAAUUGCAUCACUCAAAGAUGAUCCCGCGUUGUAUUAGCUAGUUGGUGAGGAAAAGGCUCACCAAGGCGAUGAUACAUAGCCGACCUGAGAGGGUGAUCGGCCAAAUUGGGACUGGGACACGGCCCAAACUCCUACGGGGGGCAGCAGUAGGGAAUCUUUGGACAUGGACGAAAGUCUGACCGAGCAACGCCGCGUGAGUGAAGAAGGUUUUCGGAUCGUAAAACUCUGUUGGUAGAGAAGAACGUUGGUGAGAGUGGAAAGCUCAUCAAGUGACGGUAACUACACAGAAAGGGACGGCUAACUACGUG
rnacentral:rRNA from 1 species